GACAGAGGGUGCAAACGUUGCUCGGAAUUACUGGGCGUAAAGCGCGUGUAGGCUGACCGGAAAGUCGGGCGUGAAAGCCCUGGGCUCAACCCAGGAAGUGCAUCCGAAACUGUGGAGCUUGAAUGCCGGAGGGGCCCAGAGAAUUCCCGGUGUAGAGGUGAAAUUCGUAGAUAUCGGGAGGAAUACCAGUGGCGAAGGCGCUGGGCUGGACGGUCAUUGACGCUGAGGUGCGAAAGCGUGGGGAGCAAACAGG
rnacentral:rRNA from 1 species